rnacentral:rRNA from 1 species
CCCUACGGGGCGCAGCAGGCGCGAAAACUUUACAAUGCGAGCAAUCGUGAUAAGGGAACUCCGAGUGCCCGUAAAAUCGGGCUGUCCGCCAGUUUAAAUCACUGGUGAAGAAAGGGCCGGGCAAGACCGGUGCCAGCCGCCGCGGUAAUACCGGCGGCUCGAGUGGUGGCCACUAUUACUGGGCUUAAAGCGUUCGUAGCUGGCUUGUUAAGUCUCUGGGGAAAUCUUCCGGCUUAACCGGAAGGCGUCUCAGGGAUACUGGCAGGCUAGGGACUGGAAGAGGUGGGUGGUACUCCAGGGGUAGGAGUGAAAUCCUGUAAUCCUUGGGGGACCACCUGUGGCGAAGGCGUCUCACCAGGACGGCUCCGACAGUGAGGAACGAAAGCUGGGGGAGCAAACUGGAUUAGAUACCCGGGUAGUCCCAGCUGUAAACGAUGCGCGUUAGGUGUAUCGGUGACCACGAGUCACCGAGGUGCCGAAGAGAAAUCGUGAAACGCGCCGCCUGGGAAGUACGGUCGCAAGGCUGAAACU